rnacentral:rRNA from 1 species
GACGGAGGGUGCAAGCGUUGUCCGGAAUCAUUGGGCGUAAAGCGCGCGUAGGCGGCCCGGUAAGUCCGCUGUGAAAGUCAAAGGCUCAACCUUUGAAUGCCGGUGGAUACUGUCGGGCUAGAGUCCGGAAGAGGCGAGUGGAAUUCCUGGUGUAGCGGUGGAAUGCGCAGAUAUCAGGAGGAACACCGAUAGCGAAGGCAGCUCGCUGGGACGGUACUGACGCUGAGGCGCGAAAGCGUGGGGAGCGAACAGG